UGCAGUCGAACGGACGCUCGGAGCUUGCUCUGAGUUGUUAGUGGCGAACGGGUGAGUAACACGUGAGUAACCUGCCCUCUUCUUUGGGAUAACUGCUCGAAAGAGUAGCUAAUACUGGAUAUUCUGCUGUCAUCGCAUGGUGGUGGUUUGAAAGGGUUUCUGGUGGGGGAUGGGCUCGCGGCUUAUCAGCUUGUUGGUGGGGUAAUGGCUUACCAAGGCUUUGACGGGUAUCCGGCCUGAGAGGGUGACCGGACACAUUGGGACUGAGAUACGGCCCAGACUCCUACGGGAGGCAGCAGUGGGGAAUUUUGCACAAUGGGCGAAAGCCUGAUGCAGCGACGCCGCGUGAGGGAUGAAGGCCUUCGGGUUGUAAACCUUUUUCGCUCUUGACCAAGUGCCCAGUUUGCUGGGUGUGAGGGUAUGGGGUAAAGAAGCGCCGGCUAACUACGUGCCAGCAGCCGCGGUAAUACGUAGGGCGCGAGCGUUGUCCGGAAUUAUUGGGCGUAAAGGGCUUGUAGGCGGUUCGUCGCGUCUGCCGUGAAAUUCUCUGGCUUAACUGGGGAAGUGCGGUGGGUACGGGCAGGCUUGAGUGUGGUAGGGGAGAUUGGAAUUCCUGGUGUAGCGGUGGAAUGCGCAGAUAUCAGGAAGAACACCGGUGGCGAAGGCGGAUCUCUGGGCCAUUACUGACGCUGAGGAGCGAAAGCGU
rnacentral:rRNA from 1 species